rnacentral:rRNA from 1 species
CCUACGGGUGGCAGCAGUCGAGAAUCAUUCACAAUGGGGGAAACCCUGAUGCUGCGACGCCGCGUGAGGGAAUGAAGGUCUUCGGAUUGUAAACCCCUGUCAUGUGGGAGCAAAUUAAAAAGAUAGUACCACAAGAGGAAGAGACGGCUAACUCUGUACCAGCGGCCGCGGUAAUACAGAGGGCUCAAGAGUUGUUCGGAAUCACUGGGCGUAAGGCGUGCGUAGGCAGUUUCGUAAGUGGGGUGUGAAAGGCGCGGGCUCAACCCGCGGACGGCACUUGAUACUGCGAGACUAGAGUAAAGGAGGGGGAACCGGAAUUCUCGGUGUAGCAGUGAAAUGCGUAGAUAUCGAGAGGAACACUCGUGGCGAAGGCGGGUUCCUGGACAUUAACUGACGCUGAGGCACGAAGGCCAGGGGAGCGAAAGGGAUUAGAUACCCUUGUAGUC